GUUACACUGAGUGACGCGGAGUUACGCGGAAUUACGGGGAGUGACGCAGAGUUACGUGGAAUUACACAGAGUUACGCAGAGUUACUUGGAAUUACAGAGUUACGCAGAGUUACGCAGAAUUACGCGGAGUUCCGCAGAGUUACACUGAGUUACGCGGAGUGACGCGGAUUGACGUGGAGUUACGCAGAGUGACGCGGAGUUACACUGAGUUACGCGGAGUUACGCGGAGUGACGCAGAGUUAUGCGGAAUUACACAGAGUUACGCAGAGUUACUUUGAAUUACAGAGUUACGCAGAAUUACGCGGAGUUACGCAGAAUUACACGGAGUUACGCGGAUUGACGUGGAGUGACGCGGAGUUACACUGAGUUACGCGGAGUUACACUGAGUUACGCGGAGUUACGCAGAAUUACGCAGAGUUACGCGGAGUUACAUUUAGAUCCAACGUUAUAGAUCAGAGUCAGCGCGCUACACAUAUUGAGCGCCGCCUUUUCUAGUAAAAUGUCCGCUGUUAUCUCUCUGUGUCUCUCUGUGUCUCUUUAUGUCUCUCUUUAUGUCUCUCUGUGUCUCUCUUUGUCUCUUUAUGUCUCUCUAUGUCUCUCUGUGUCUCUUUAUGUCUCUCUGUGUCUCUUUAUG